rnacentral:rRNA from 1 species
UAAGGAAUAUUGGUCAAUGGAGGCAACUCUGAACCAGCCAUGCCGCGUGCAGGAAGACAGCCCUCUGGGUCGUAAACUGCUUUUAUUCGGGAAUAAACCUACUUACGUGUAAGUAGCUGAAUGUACCGAAGGAAUAAGGAUCGGCUAACUCCGUGCCAGCAGCCGCGGUAAUACGGAGGAUCCAAGCGUUAUCCGGAUUUAUUGGGUUUAAAGGGUGCGUAGGCGGCCUGUUAAGUCAGGGGUGAAAGACGGUAGCUCAACUAUCGCAGUGCCCUUGAUACUGAUGGGCUUGAAUACACUAGAGGUAGGCGGAAUGUGACAAGUAGCGGUGAAAUGCAUAGAUAUGUCACAGAACACCGAUUGCGAAGGCAGCUUACUAUGGUGU